AGCGGAGCCUGCGUUCCGGCGCCCCUCCCCCAGCCGAGCCCCGUCCGCGCCUGCGCACGGCGGGGACCCGGGCCCCAGGGUGCGGGGCCGCGGAAGGCGCCGCCGGGAGCUCCGCGGCCCAGGCCGGCUGGGUUGCGUCGAACGCCGAGCUAUCGACCCGCAGUUGCUAGGCAACCAGGCUGCAGUGCGGGUAGCGAAAAUGAAAAGUGCAUGUUACCUUCUCUGCUCUUCUCCAGAUGUGGACACCUUCGUUCAAGAAUUGUUCCUCCAGAUGAACGGUUCAGUCAGCCAUCCAUUCUCCAAGCCUUGAGUUUGGUGCCUUUCUCUAAUUCACACCAACAUGCCAGACACGGACAAGGAAAAUGCUUUGCAAAACUUGUGGCAGGAGAAGGGAGCCUUAAAGAAGAGAGAAAAGACAAAAGCCUCAAGGUGUUUUUCCGGUUGCUUCGGGCAGAUCAUUUGGAGUAAACAGGUAAGCGUAGCACUUGUCAAAAAAACAUGUCAGGGCGACACCCUGGCUCCUGACGAAUAGGCAGAAAGUCUGAUCAUAAAUGUAGGGGGUUUUUGCUUCUCGUUUUUAAGUUGGACUUUUAAAAGUAGAAGCUGCCUUUAAUGUGCUGGGUUUGCAGAACAAGAAAUCUGAUUUUAAAAGUGAUAACACAUUUUUUGACAUUAACCAGCACUGUUGGAUUUUUUUUUUUCACUGUUGGAUUUUUAAUGACACUUUCAUCUUCAAAGCCUUUCACCAACAGGAUGGAUUAAUUAUUCUCUUUCUUUCUUUCUUUCUUUCUUUCUUUCUUUCUUUCUUUCUUUCUUUGGUUGUGUGUUAAAAAGACAAGUCUUCAAAGCCAUCAUCCUUUAUCCUUGGAAUUGGGGCUCUUCACCUUUCAAAUGUUGCUUUCCUGUCCCCAAGGGAGAAAGUAAAUGAAUGUAUCUUUGUUUUUUAAGACAGAAAGAAGAAUACAAUAGAAAUACACUUUUUGCACUAUGGGGAAAUGUUCUUAUAUCCUGGGUGGGAUUAGAAGAGGUCGGGAAGCAGUGUUUAACCCGUGUUUACAGUAAGCACUGUGAGAAAUAACUGGCUAAAAGUGUUUGUUACUGUUCAACCUUUUGAUGUGCUCUUAAAAACAACCACACAUGCAUAAAACGACCUGCGUUCAACAUAAGCAGGAGCAUAAUACUCAGACCCUUCUAUUCGUUGCUAAGGUAUAUUCCUUCCCUCUUCUCUUCAAAAAAUGUCUAAUUGAGUUUUUAAAAGGUUUGGUUUGGGAGAAGGAAACCCUCAAGCCUCCCCCAAGGCCCCUCUUUACUUGACACAUCUUAUAACCACAAGGGAGCAGUCUUUCCUUUGAUGAGGUCUUACACUCCACCUCCGCAGAAAUGGAAGAGCAAGUGUAAGUUUGCAAACAGUCUGAAAGCUUUUUCCAUUAGCCCUGGACGCCGGAAACCACAAAGGGCAGGCAAGUUU
rnacentral:lncRNA from 1 species